rnacentral:rRNA from 1 species
AUUGAACGCUGGCGGCAGGCUUAACACAUGCAAGUCGAGCGGAGAUGAGGUGCUUGCACCUUAUCUUAGCGGCGGACGGGUGAGUAAUGCUUAGGAAUCUGCCUAUUAGUGGGGGACAACAUUCCGAAAGGAAUGCUAAUACCGCAUACGUCCUACGGGAGAAAGCAGGGGAUCUUCGGACCUUGCGCUAAUAGAUGAGCCUAAGUCGGAUUAGCUAGUUGGUGGGGCAAAGGCCUACCAAGGCGACGAUCUGUAGCGGGUCUGAGAGGAUGAUCCGCCACACUGGGACUGAGACACGGCCCAGACUCCUACGGGAGGCAGCAGUGGGGAAUAUUGGACAAUGGGGGGAACCCUGAUCCAGCCAUGCCGCGUGUGUGAAGAAGGCCUUAUGGUUGUAAAGCACUUUAAGCGAGGAGGAGGCUACUGAGACUAAUACUCUUGGAUAGUGGACGUUACCCGCAGAAUAAGCACCGGCUAACUCUGUGCCAGCCGCCGCCGUAAAAC